rnacentral:misc_RNA from 1 species
GUAUUGUAUUGCGUUAAACGCUGCAUACAUUCCACGAGACUUCAUUAAUGUGUGUGUGUGUGUAAAGACGUAGGACUAUGGAAGGAAGACAGAGCCUCCCAAACCACAAAACUACAGGAGUGCACAGGUGUGAGUGGAUGUGUAAACAGAGCGUGCACAUGCCCCCAUUUGAGGACCAGCAACAGCUCAUGUCAACAAUUCAGUAAUGAUCCUUCCGCAGGUUCACCUACGGAAA